rnacentral:sRNA from 1 species
AAUCUUUAUGUUUCAGGGAAGUGAUUUAGUUAUUUCAAUUUUGUUUGUGCUAGAGUGAUCACUAAAUUUAUCUCCACUGCAGUAAAUAUGAUAUGGAAGCGAGUAAUACAACGAAUAAUCAUAUUCCUGGUUUUUGAACAAAAUGUUUCUUCAUUGACUAUGCAUACAGAAGAUGUUGUCGCAAUCUUACAAGAGGCCAAUAGUAUCGUCCUCAACUGUACCUAUAAUAAAGAUUCGAAGGAAGAUAUCGCAAAAAGACAUAUCGGAUGGCAGAAACAGAUCAAUGGUGUAUUUGAAGAUAUAGCUGUGUUUUCACCUCCAGGGAAGCAGGAACCUUUUAUUGUAAAAGGAAAGCAUCCUUUGUACAGCAACAGGACAAUAUUGAUCGCACCAAAUUCCUCGAUGGCAGCUGUGAUGAUUAUAAAGGAUCCUGUCUGUAGUGAUGAGGGAAUUUACCGGUGCUGGAUAAUAUAUUAUUCAGAGAGUUCAGUUAUAACAAAAACUAGUCAAACUAUAGUUGGAUUUGUUGCAAAGAAACCAGAGGAAUUUUCGAUGUCCUCAAAUAAGCUCGAAGAGAACAAUUCUAUAAGUUUGACUUGUAAUGCUGAUGUCGGAAGUCCGCAAGGAUAUGUUCAAAUUUUGAAAAUACCUGAAUACUCCAAUACACCUGAGAGAAGACAACGGAGCAGUGUUCCUAUGUUCAUCCCAAAAUGGCUUAUCCCAAGGACUAGGACCAAACAGGGAAUCGCCAAAAAUUACUGUGAUUUAUGGACCUGGCAUACCUGCAGUUACCAUGAAACCUUCCGUCAGUAUAUUGUGUUGGAGACUCUCUCACGAUUGAAUGUAGCGCCGACAGUAACCCGCCACCUGUCUUCACUUGGAGCUUUCUGUUUGAGAACACAUCAGAAGAACAAAUCGAGCUCCCCCACCAUAAAUCCAGUCUGA